rnacentral:rRNA from 1 species
UACGUAGGGGGCUAGCGUUGUCCGGAAUCAUUGGGCGUAAAGAGCGUGUAGGCGGUCCGGUAAGUCCGCUGUGAAAGUCGGGGGCUCAACCCUCGAAUGCCGGUGGAUACUGUCGGGCUAGAGUGCGGAAGAGGCGAGUGGAAUUCCUGGUGUAGCGGUGAAAUGCGCAGAUAUCAGGAGGAACACCUAUUGCGAAGGCAGCUCGCUGGGACGUUACUGACGCUGAGACGCGAAAGCGUGGGGAGCAAACAGG